rnacentral:rRNA from 1 species
GUCUACGUCCAUGCUACCCUGAACAAGCCCAAUCCCGUCUGAUCUCUGAAGCUAAACAGGGUCAGGACUGGUUAGUACUUGGAUGGCAGACCACCUAGGAAGACCAGGUGCUGUAGGUG